CACCCCUCAAGCACCGCUUGGCGUUGGGGCACCGCGGCCGCCCGCGGGCCCUGAAAACCAGUGGCGGGCUCGCCGCGGCCCCGAGCGCAGUAGUACACCUCGCUCCGGGCGCCCGGCGGGCCUCGCGCCGUGAAAGAGCAACGCAACCCACCCCA
rnacentral:misc_RNA from 1 species